CUACGUGCCAGCAGCCGCGGUAAUACGUAUGUCGCAAGCGUUAUCCGGAAUUAUUGGGCAUAAAGGGCAUCUAGGCGGCCAGAUAAGUCUGGGGUGAAAACUUGCGGCUCAACCGCAAGCCUGCCCUGGAAACUAUGUGGCUAGAGUACUGGAGAGGUGGACGGAACUGCACGAGUAGAGGUGAAAUUCGUAGAUAUGUGCAGGAAUGCCGAUGAUGGAGAUAGUUCACUGGACGGUAACUGACGCUGAAGUGCGAAAGCUAGGGGAGCAAACAGGAUUAGAUACCCUGGUAGUCCUAGCUGUAAACGAUGAUUACUGGGUGUGGGCAUGAAGAGUGUCCGCGCCGAAGCUAACGCGUGAAAUCGACCGCCUGGGGAGUACGGUCGCAAGAUUAAAACUCAAAGGAAUUGACGGGGACCCGCACAAGCGGUGGAUGAUGUGGAUUAAUU
rnacentral:rRNA from 1 species